UCGGGGAGUAGGGUAGCAGGGUAGAAGGGGUAAACGAAGAAGAGUCUCGCGCUAGUCAGUCGGCGGUGAGACUCCGCGUGCGAUACCUCGUUGCAGAGGUACUUUUCCACCCCCUAGAAACGGGCCGCGCGAUUUUUUUCAUCGUCCCGUAAUCGCGCCACGUGCCUGAACUCCAUUCGCGAAAGAACAAGCAGAGUGAUCCGGCGUGAAAAAUUUUUUCUACCAGUGCGAACACAUUUAGUGAACCAGUGCAAACUCAUCGAUAGUCGAUCGUUAUUUUUCAGGGAGGCAUUGUCGCUGGUUGAUCUCGUGUUUCCAGGGUAAAAUUCCUAUUUUCCCGUGAUGCUCGAAGCGCGAUGUUAGGCCUUUUCGUUACAGUUCGGUGCAGAGACCGCGGAUGCACGACCGCGACGAAAAUAUCCUCGAAAAAUCUCGGCAACCGGCCAAGCGGCCUCGAGAGAUCGCUAUAGUUCGAGGGACAGCUUUGAUAAGAUAAUUUAAAGGGGUCUUCGCGAUUUCAAUCGUUCGCCCCGAGCCGAGCCGAGGUCCUUUCUCCAUGCUGGAAUCCGCUUAGCGAAGCUUCCUCUUCUUCGGGAAUCCGUAGCCCUUUUUUACCUUUUCUUGAUGCACUCGCGUUGGAAGCAUGCUUGUGAAAAGCUUUUAACUAUAUCGUGUUUUACGAAAACUGACAUUUUCAUUAAGGGGUCGAGGGUAUUUCCUGCCUCGUUUUAUGUUCCUUUUCCAGCGACAAGAUUUAGGGGACGAUGAUAAAGAAACGAUACGAUCGAUAAAGAGACUUGCUUACUGCCUCGUGAAAGAUAAUAAAAAGAGUUACUAUCGUACGUGAAUUAAAACAACCUCUUUUCUUUUCCGAAUCCGAAAUUUUCUAAAAUUUAAAAUCGCGGAGAGGUCGUCAGAAAGAGAUCAGACGGAUAGAGGAUAGACAGCUUUUUCGAAGUGGUCGUUCAUGUGACUAUGCAUAUUCAACCCUUGAAGAGAAAAACUAGUGAAUAAAAAGUUUAUAAACAGCGCAAAGCAACGUGACGAUUUUUGCUGCGUCCCGUACCAUCUCCUUUUUUCGCCGUGUGUACACGUCAAGAGUCAAGAGAGCAUUUCCGUUCCGCCAGCAGGAAGAUCGAUGAAAUCCCGAUGCGAGCACCGCCGUUGGAAGGAGAGAUAGUGUUUCGCGAGUGAUCCAGUGAGGCAGACCGAGAAGAUCGAAAGGGAAUCGUGGUACACGCGUUACGAGACGCGAAAAAACGCGCGACAGUGUUACAGACGUUUGUAUAUAUGUACAUAUAUGCCUGUGUGUGCGCGUGUGUGGUUAAGCGAGGAGAGCGUCAAGGGAGGAGAUACGAAUCCGCGGAAGCUGGGAGGAACGUUAAAUGAAUGUUGUUGCAAGGAGCGGCUGUGAUCGUGAGAGUAGAAUCGGUGCACGGCAGGAUCGGCCGAUUUCAAUUCAUAAAUGUGCCAGAGACGGAGCCCACAAUGGUGGUUCGGCUCCCGCAACAAGUUCUACUGCUGCUCGUACUCGUCACUGGGACGGCCGCGGAAGCCACACGCGAGACGGAGUCACUGUGGAGCGUGUACGACGCGAAAAGGAGCAACCGUUCCAUUCCCUGGUGGUCGUCCAGCACAGAACGCGCCACGGCAGAAAGCAAAUCCGUCAGAAAGUUUCGCCAGACAACUAGCUGGCACGCAGACAGCUGGAGCUCGAGGGAACGAGUUACGUUGGAAUUGGUAAGGCCGGUCACCGAGAGCCCGAACGACGACGAGGAAGAGGAGGAAAUCGAAAUGCCCGCCAAUCUCGAGACGACGUCCAGAACGGAGAAGAAAGACGUGGGAACAAUGAAAAUAUCGCAUCGAAAUUCGACCGUGUCCACCAGGAGCGCGCUGGACACAAGGCUGAAGAUAAAUUCAUCCGCUGGUCGGACGUUUAUCGAAUCAACGUCGGAACGGUCGAGCUUCGACAAACGUGCUUUCUCCGACGACAUAGUGGCGACGCAGGUAGCUCGGUUUACCCCGAGCUCGAUGAAAAAUCAGAGCAAUAUCUCCACCACGUCGUCAACAUUCUUCGACGUUGUACGACGCCAGAUGAGACACGUUCCGGACGUGUGCGAAAAGUUCACCGUCGGAGAAGAGGGGAAGCAAGAAUUUUACAGCCCCAACUAUCCGGACAACUAUCCGAACCUCACCGAGUGCAUCAAAGUUCUGCAAGCUAACGAAGGUAUGCUGUUGAAACUCGACUUCCGAGACGAGUUCAAGCUCGAGGAAAGCGCCGACUGCCGUUACGAUUUCCUCGAGGUACGUGACGGCCAGCACGGCUACUCCAAUCUCCUCGGCAACUUCUGCGGCACAAAUUUCCCCCCAGAGAUCACGUCCAAGACCAGAUACCUCUGGCUCCGAUUCCACAGUGACGAUAGCAUCGAAGGGAAGGGCUUCAAGGCCGUAUGGAAUAUGGUUCCUAGACCAACUUAUCCGGGUGUGCCGCCGGAACCAGAACCAUGCGUGCGGUACGUGAAUGGUUCGGAGGCGAUUAUCAACAGCAACGACGUGAAGGAUAGAAAGAAACUAGCUGAAAAGGAAGGCAUUGCCAUAGACUGCCUUUGGAACAUCACGGUCAAGGAGGGGAUGAAGAUUCAGCUGACGUUCUCGGAUCCCUUCAAGCUGCAACGACCGAACGAGUGCGACGCCAACUUCGUGGACAUAUUCAAAGAACGCACUGACAUGUCCUCGAGAGAGAAGAAUUUCUGCGGCAGUAUUGCCGACACCGUGGUCAUAACUACCAACACCGCCUUUGUCAGAUUUUACGCGGAGCCGAAAGCGUUGAACAGCAGCUUCGAGGCUGUCAUGACAGCGCUCAGGGACAGAGAUCCGGGAGACAAACCUUGCCACGAUGACGAGUAUUACUGCGAGGACGCGACUUGCAUCGCAGCGAAUUUGCAGUGCAACGGAAGAGUCAAUUGCCGUUUCCGAUGGGACGAAGAAGACCAAGCUUGUAACACGAAAAAAUCACGGUUGAUCGACUCGCAGCAUAUCGUGAUAAUCCUCAUCGUUUUCUCCCUGAUCAUGUUCGGCAUGAGUUUCGCCUUCGUCUUCAACUGCGUACGGAAGUUGAUCCGGGAUCAUCGAAUCAUUCGGGAACACAUCAGACAGUCAAGAGAGAAUCGAUUGGACGAACUUGGUCGUAAGACGACACCUUGUCCAAUCUCGUCUUCGAGAACGGACAUCGGGGAUCGAGGUAGCGAGUCGCCGAGUUUAGAAGUGAUUCCCAGCAAGGAACUUUUACCACCUACCACCCUGAUAGCACAGGAUUACACGAAAGAUCUGGUAUUAGAGAUGGCCUACAACACGAGGGACAUGAACGACAUCCACCAGAGUAACAACGUUAGCAACGCGACACAAGAGCGUUUGCAAGAAUCGAGCGAGGAGCCUGAAAUGCGGGACAAUUCGUGUCAAACGCGAGAGAGCCUGUUCGAGGCACGAAUCUCAGACAACGGGGUGCCUAUAGGGUUCACGACGUUCGGAGUGCGCGGACCGAGUUCACAAAACGGGACCAAUCAUCUUCAUCACCAUCGCCAUCAUCAUCUGCACCAUCACCAGAGUCCGCCGCAAUCUCGUCAGGGUUCAUUGCCGUCUCAGCACAGUACUACCCAACAAUCUUCCGAGCAGAGCUCUCAGCAAGUUGCCUCUCAAUGCUCCGGUUGUAGUCCAGCAUCGAGAGGUCGAGACGGUAGCAUGGGUAUUUGUCCGAAGCACAAUCCCAUUCCAGCCCCGCCAGGCUGGUCGACCCACGAAUCCAACUAUCCGCCUACCCUGCAUCAAGGCACCCCUUACCCGGAACCCCCGGAUUAUCCUUCGUACCAGAGGUUCCAAAGCCCGAAACCGAGCAGAGAGAACAGCGCUUAUCGCCAGUCGCCGAAGCUAUUGAGACAAGGGACAGUCGGCUCCGGCGAGAGGUACGGUAGUUCUAUAUACGGCUCUGGACACGGAUCCAGCAACACGUCGAGCGCUCAACACUCAGCCACGCCAAAGUGCCCUCAAACGACACCGGAUCCAAGGUACAGAGCGGAGGCGGUGAUAGAAGUGGAUCAGAGGCGGCCUUUCAGUAUAGAGAGCACAAAGAGCGCACCGGACGUGAUCGCGACUCACUGACGCCGGGGUCCUGGGGAUUGGGAGCCCUACAAGAGACGCCAUCCCCGUCAAACCGUGACCGAUCAUCAGUUGCAUGCUCGAAACGAUGGAAACAAGGUCACAGUGGCCACACAGAGCUCCUUGGAUGAUGAUGCUUCGACCAGCUCGACCAUAGAGGCGAAUUCCUCCUCCUGAUCCACGCAUACCGGGGCGAUCGAUCGAUCUGCCCAAUCGGAUCAGGACCUAUCUGACCAGGACGAUCGAAAGCCUCUCGAGAAGUCCGAACGGAACAUCCGUGAAACAGAGAGACGGUACGACGUCUCGUUACCGAGAUCCACGGAAAUCGGCAAAAUAAAAGAGGCGGGCACGUGUCCGGGCAAUAACGGUGAAAUCGGCGGAACAGAAGCGAACGAGCUACCCUUACGAGACUUUGUCGGGACAAAUACGGGGUCAUUACACGGCGAUGUCACGAUCCUACACUCGACUGGAAUAGAAUCGAUGGAAAGGGUUCCUGUUGCGAGGACAUCGUCCGCGUGCCUGGCCUUAAAACCGAACGAUCUGCCGAUCCUGAGGCCUCCGGAGGCCUUCGGAGCACCCAUUUUCCGAUGUAAAACACCGACCUUGGCUUGGCAGCACUGCGACUGCCCCUCGCAUUCUCAUUUACCGCCACGAAGAUCGUCGGUUAUCUGGAGCGUCUUGAAACGAUACAACCAAGAGCCUUUUUAUCGAACCUGGCCUAACAGAACCAAUCGAAGGUUCGUUCGACCAUCGAGAAGAACCGUGGGUACUCAGAGCACGUUCGAAGGAUCGCGAUCGUCUCUUGGUGGUCUUCGAUGCGUCGUCAGGUCUAUCGAUAUGACGGAAAGAUCGAUGGACCUGGAGAUUGGAGCUACCAUACCGUUCUAACGUCUACUUUGCGAAUCGCGAGAGGUUUGAUUUCGCACGCUGAAGGUCGAUUGGAUCGCGGACCAAAGGUUUUGUACGCGAGGGAUUAAUAACGAGCGUAUUAUUGUUAACGUAAGUUUAGAAUCGUUUCUCGUUGUUAACUAAAUCGGAUACUGUUCGUAAACGAACGCUAUUUAUCGAUUUAUUGCGUUACAUUUGAGAGGCUCGUUAUUGUUAUUAUAACUUAGGCUGUUUCUAUAUCGAUGCUUUUUUUAAUCCUUUCGACUUUGAAUCAGAGCCCAGGCUGAAUUUUUUACUCGCGAAAAAUAUUCAAUAACCUCCUGAUCAAUGAUCAAAUUGUGUAACACGAAAGAUCGAUCACAUUCGUGAUUACUCGUAAUUCGGAAAACAACCGCAGUAGAAGACAAACACAGGUGUCUGCCUAUACUGGAGACCACGGUUCAUAACGAUGCAACAGAUAUAUCGUGCCUAAGCAAAGACGCAAACUGUAUAUUUCGUUUCCUCCACAAGAUAUCAUUACAAACAGGGGUGAAUCCAGACGUUCGCAUAAAUUAUUUAUACGUUAUGAAAAACAAACAAUAAUACGUUUUGAAAGAUUUCAUAACUCUUCUGGAUUCACCGGUUAUUAUAAAACAAAGUUCGUUUUCCACCAUUUUGUGUAUCUACGUUAGCGCCAAAACGUGUUGCUACUUACCACAAUGCGAAUCCUUGCUGCUGCAUUUUCCUUAAUUGCACCAGUCACUUGUAAUCGGUGAGAGAAACAUACUACGCGCACUAAACACUCGACACUCGUGUUCGUAGAAUAAUUGUAACGAGUUACAUUUACUUUCUCAACGUAUUUCCUUGCGAGGAUAAUUAAAGGACGCGUGAACGAGCAACAAACAUAUCGGAAACGAGGCUCACUUCGCACUGUCGGUAGCUACAGCCGAGCGCCUGUAGAUGGCGAGUCACGAUUGAGCGGAUUAGUCCGGAACGCUGAGUCCCAAAGUUAUUUACGUAGUUUCCGCGGUCGUGUAAACGUAAACGAAAGUGCAGUGUUUGGAAGAUUCGUCGAAGAGCUUGGCACGACUCUCGAGAACCGGUUGAUUGUUUCUGCGAACGAGGUCGAUUCUCAGAAGAAAAAAAUGCUAUCCUUGCCCAGACUAUAUUUCAUUGGAGAAACGAAUCGUCGAAAAUCCAGCUGUGGUUCCAAUAAAUCUUCAACCCUAUCGAAGAGCAUCGGUCACGUUCACGCUGCUACCAGCUGAUUUCAAUCUGUUCCAGGUGUAUCUCGCUGAGCUUUGGACUACAUGGUCCAUGGGACGAAGAAGUGACUAUGGUGGGAGACAUGGGACUCUUAGAUCCAGUGAAUCCAAAGCAAGAGUUCCUGCGAUGAUCGAAAGAUUUCGGACUCUUCGGGACGAAACUCGUGGAACUGGGUGAUCUGGCUGGGAUUAUGGGCGAUCCAGGUAUGGGACUUCUAGGUGGAUAGCUCAUAGUCUUCCCCAGAUUCUUCCUGGUCUCGCAGAAUUGGAAUAUCGGCGACUUUCGACCCGGAGAAUGCAACAGGUCCGGAUUAGGACUCUUAGGACUCCUGCAUCCUUGACGGACGUAGUAACUAGGACUUCUGGGUGCUCGAUCAGUCUCGUUCGCACGGGCAAAUUGCUCGAAAUCGAAGUUCGUGUUCGGGGUUUCCGGAUAAUACCCUGGCGGGAACUCGAAGACCAACGGAGUGCUCGGUGAUUUGACCGCCGACAGCUGCGUAGGACUUCUCUGUCCUCCGAUCGGGAUUUGUGGCAAUUGCGGUAGCUGACGAGGGCUACGGGGUGAUUUCAGGUGUAUCGAUUGACCGGGGCUGUUGGUCGCCAUCUUCGACAGGUUGACGAGUACACACCUUCUUCUUCCUUCCUCCCUGUCGAUCGUCUUCUUCCCUACCUUCCUUUCGCUCGUCCUUUUUAAUCUAUCAGGGAGAAAAACGAGUCUCUCCCGGGCUCAUUGUGCCUCAACGGCGACAAUGAAACACGAGACUCUUUGUUGCUCUCCUCGAUCACCUCCAGCUUCCUCGCGACAGCGAACCGCCAACCGUUUCCAACGGAUUCGAUUUUCAUCUCAGCAAGUGUUUUUCUUCUCAUUUCUUCGACCACUUGCGCAUCUUGUUCCCCGUGGUUUUGUCUGAAGAUGUUUGGAAACGAAGUGUUUCAGACGAGAGAGGACUUUAAACGGUUCUUCAAGGUACGAUUGUUACAGAAAGCUGGACACUGACAAACCUGGAAUGUUUCAUUUGUGUUAAAUAUAUUUGAUUAAGAACUAAAUAUCCUGGCUGGAAUUAUUUUGCAUUGAAAGUAAUUAAUUGUAAAUUCAUUUUAACGAAUACAAGUUGCAGUGCAUGUGGAAAAUGCUGGUCUCAUAGGAAACCAAUGUAAACAAAAGGAUACCUUUUUAAUAUGAUUUGAGGGGAAAAUUAUUCUCUGGCGUGGACAAAGGGGAACAAUUCCAACGAGUCGCAGUAACAUUUCUGCUGAGGGCAAAAUUAAUAUCAAUCACAGAGUAUUUCUGUGAUAUAACUAAACCGCGUAAACAGUGUAGACUCGUUUCUCUUUCAUCUUCGAUCAGAAGAGGAAAUUUCUACGUAUCGCAUGGUUCACGCGAGACCACCAUUUAUUUACUUGUAAUAAUUAUAUUUUAAUGAUACACGAUAUUAAAAAAAAUUCAUCUCAUAAGAAUAUUAAAUAUUGGGAGAUUAAAAUCAGUUAUAAAACGUGCAGAAGUAUGAAUGAAACUCGUUAAGAGUUAGUGCCCCAUUUUCUCGUCUAAUAAAAAAGUUUUAACUCUAAA